AUUGAACGCUGGCGGCAGGCCUAACACAUGCAAGUCGAGCGGAUGAAGGGAGCUUACUCCUGGAUUCAGCGGCGGACGGGUGAGUAAUGCCUAGGAAUCUGCCUGGUAGUGGGGGAUAACGUCCGGAAACGGGCGCUAAUGCCGCAUACGUCCUGAGGGAGACAGUGGGGGAUCUUCGGACCUCACGCUAUCAGAUGAGCCUAGGUCGGAUUAGCUAGUUGGUGGGGUAAAGGCCUACCAAGGCGACGAUCCGUAACUGGUCUGAGAGGAUGAUCAGUCACACUGGAACUGAGACACGGUCCAGACUCCUACGGGAGGCAGCAGUGGGGAAUAUUGGACAAUGGGCGAAAGCCUGAUCCAGCCAUACCGCGGGUGGGAAGAAGGUCUUCGGAUUGUAAAGCACUUUAAGUUGGGAGGAAGGGCAGUAAGUUAAUACCGUGCUGUUUUGACGUUACCAACAGAAUAAGCACCGGCUAACUUCGUG
rnacentral:rRNA from 1 species